UCCGAAUUGGUGUAGUGGCCAACAUUUGACGCUCUCAUCUGCCUCUUAUCCUCACUUGAGAUUUAAGUGCAGUAUCAGUACCGUCAAGCCCGGGGUUCGAUUCCCCGAUUCGGAG